GGUGAGUAACACGUGGGAACGUGCCUUUAGGUUCGGAAUAGCUCCUGGAAACGGGUGGUAAUGCCGAAUGUGCCCUUCGGGGGAAAGAUUUAUCGCCUUUAGAGCGGCCCGCGUCUGAUUAGCUUGUUGGUGGGGUAAUGGCCCACCAAGGCUACGAUCAGUAGCUGGUCUGAGAGGAUGACCAGCCACAUUGGGACUGAGACACGGCCCAAACUCCUACGGGAGGCAGCAGUGGGGAAUCUUGCGCAAUGGGCGAAAGCCUGACGCAGCCAUGCCGCGUGUAUGAUGAAGGUCUUAGGAUUGUAAAAUACUUUCACCGGUGAAGAUAAUGACUGUAGCCGGAGAAGAAGCCCCGGCUAACUUCGUGCCAGCAGCCGCGGUAAUACGAAGGGGGCUAGCGUUGCUCGGAAUUACUGGGCGUAAAGGGAGCGUAGGCGGACAUUUAAGUCAGAGGUGAAAUCCCGGAGCUUAACUUCGGAACUGCCUUUGAUACUGGGUGUCUUGAGUGUGAGAGAGGUAUGUGGAACUCCGAGUGUAGAGGUGAAAUUCGUAGAUAUUCGGAAGAACACCAGUGGCGAAGGCGACAUACUGGCUCAUUACUGACGCUGAGGCUCGAAAGCGUGGGGAGCAAACAGGAUUAGAUACCCUGGUAGUCCACGCCGUAAACGAUGAUUGCUAGU
rnacentral:rRNA from 1 species